UUGUUUACACGCUUGUUAUCUGUGGAUCAUAAUUAUAUAUGACUCCGGCUAAAUUUACCUUUUUCCUGGUUUGAUCGUUCGCGCUGCACCCAAGAGCUAGAAAGCCCUUGCAAACUAUUAGCUGGACUUGUUUUUGUGUGAUCAUCAGAAUAGAAACAGAAAGUUCUUGGAUGUGGUGCAACGUUUGCAGAAGGUAUAACGUCCCGGAAAUCGAAUAAUACCAUGCAAAUAGUGACACCAUAUUCGCUGCGGUGCAAUCAAUAUGAUAAGAUAAACUUGACAUCGGGAUCAUAACUAUAUUGAAUUAACAUCGACGAGACAAUCAAAGAACAAAAUAUUUGCUACGAACGAACUACGAAGCUUGGAUCGCCUACGAGUCCUACAAAGCGCUACGAGUCGUGUGUAGCACUGUAGCUGUCGUCGUAGCACUUUGAGAUUUCCAAUCGAUACAUCAAAAAUUUCGAAUUUUAAAAUACGCGAGGUAUGUAACUGUGAAAUUCAAAUGUUUGAAAGAAUAAUAGCGUGAACAUGGUUUCCUAAAAAAAUGGAUUGCAUAAAUCUUAUCUGUGCUGUACUUUUUUUUAUUAUAUGUGUUAUAUAGUAGUGGAAAAUUUUAAAUAUUUAAAUAUGGAAUGAUUAGUAGAUCUCCUUGAGAGAUCACGUGCGAUGUUAAUAAUGUACGUACUAGCUUUUGCCCGCGUCUUCGCCCGUUAUCUCGUUCGUUCGCUCAUAAAUUAUUAUUGUCAAUAUCUUGGGAUCUAAGCAACGUAUCGCGAUGAAACCUAUACCAGAUUUUAAGUUAAGCCAUCUGCUAUACGACUGUGAAAAUCACAUCAAAUUCCAUCCAGUAGUUUUUGCGUGAUGCGCGAACAAACAUACAGACAGGCAAAAAUUCUAAAAAAAAAAUGUUUUGGCUUCUAUUAGUCCCAUAAACAACCCCCAUAAUUUUCUUUAAUAUCUCCUAUGUACAGACAUAGCCCACUUACAGUUUUAUUAUAUGUAUAGAUUACAUCACAGGCAGCCAGAAUGAAGAUAAUUUUGACUAAAACGCAAUAUCUGCUAAAAUGGUUAUCUUUACAGAACAACACAGAGUUAUGAACAGAACAUAGAAGUGUCACGGCAUUGCUUAACUUUGUUCCCUACAUAAUUAAUUGCCUUCUAUUAUAUAUUACUGUUAACUACUCGU